rnacentral:rRNA from 1 species
UACGGAGGGUGCAAGCGUUGCUCGGAAUUAUUGGGCGUAAAGGGUAGGUAGGUGGUCUCGUUUGUCUGGGGUGAAAGCCUUGAGCUUAACUCAAGAAGUGCCCCAGAAACGGCGAGACUAGAGUUCUGGAGAGGGUCGUGGAAUUCCCGGUGUAGCGGUGAAAUGCGUAGAUAUCUGGAGGAACACCGGUGGCGAAGGCGGCAUCCUGGACCGGCAUUGACGCUGAGGAGCGAAAGCCAGGGGAGCAAACGGG